CUGAGACAGAGCGCGUGCCAACUGCACCUGCGCGGGGACUGAGUUCUCGGAGAAGGGACCCAAUAGGUAAAUGACUCCAGAAGGUCUUCUCCCAGCAGCCAGAAUAAGACAGGAAAUGAAGCCGCUUUAUUGACAAGAAUGGGUUUCAUUCUGGCAACCUUGAUUAACACAAGAGGAUAUUGAAAGGAUUUGAAGAAAGUUAUCCCGCUGAUUCCUUAACAAGAUGGUAAGCACUUAAAAGAUCCAAUUUCAUCUUCUUUACUACCCUGGCAGUGCUUAGACUAUAUACAGGCAUUUCAUAAGCAAUGAAGAUGAUGCACACUGACUGAAAAUAUUUUCAAAGUUGUAAAGGACCCUCUGAUUCUUAAAGCCAGGUUGGGCACAACUCAUGCAAGCAUUCAGUGGCCUCCAGAGCUCUCAGCCCAGCUGGGUGUCCUUUAGGGUAAGUAAUCAUACUUCCUGGAAGCCCACUUUCUCCAUCUGUGAAGUGGAGGCCACAGGGAAUAUCUAAUAAGUAUCUAGUGAUGAAAUUCAUGGGCGCUUGGAAAGGGCACUGUUUCAGACUGAGCAAGGCUCAGGAAGCCAGGGAGGCAUAAUCACUCCCACAGAAAUUGCAUUUGUCUCUAAGGUUUGAUCUGCCUGUAUGAAUGAGAGAAAGAAUUUAGCGUGAGGGAUAUUUAAAAUUGGAUCCUUUGUUUGCCUGAAUAAAUGCCUCAUGCAUUUUUGAGUUUGAUUUCCUGUUUUGUUUAUCUCCAGAAGAAAAGAAAAUAAGGCAGAAAAUUCUCCAGCAGAGCUGAGGCAAGAAGUGCUCAUAUUUAAAAUCCCAUUUGCUUGCCUAGCCCCUUGGUGACCUCUGUGCUGUGGGUAACAUUCACUGCCUCCAGGAAAGCCGAGGUCGGUGGGUGCAGUGGGUAGGCGGGAAUGCUGGUGGGUGAGCACCUCUUUCCCUCAUCAUCUACCAUCCAUCAGAGGCCUGUCUCCCCUGAUUCUUAUCUGACACUCAUUUGCACUGCUUGGAGAGAAGGUGCAAGGAACUAGGAGAAGAUGCUCAAAAAAACACGGAUCAGGAAGAUGACUGCAGCAUUGGAGAAACCAGGCAUUGAUUUUGUGGACCUCUGGGGAAGAGCUCUUGGGUGCUCUUACAAGGAUGACGAGGGCUGUGUUGAUCUUGGGAGAUGCCACUAAGGGGUUAGGGGUCAAAAGAAUUAAAUUGCAGAGGCUUAGGUGUCAAAAUAAAGAGGAACCAAGAAACAAAAUCAUGCAGAGCUUUCCAAACUACACUCUUAGCAUUUAGUCUUAGCCUUCCGUUAAAACAGCUAAGACAAGGCACAUACCACUGCAUUAUAAACCUGUUGUAGCAGUCAUGACCAUUUCACGGAGUAAUACCAACUUGCCAAAAGGAUUGACUCAGAGUUAAAUAGUGAAGGGAGGGAAGUGGCUAUCUUUUGACUCUAUAACAUAUUCGUCUUAAUAUCAUGAUGUUAUCUUUGAAAUUCUUAAAUUUCAAUAAUAUCAUUAUAGUGACAAUUUUAUGAGUUGGGUGUUGGAUUCUCACAAUCACUGAAAGGUUUAGUUGGGUGACUUUAGCUCUUUUUGGCAGCAGUUUAACAAUAGUAACUAUGUCGCUUUACUAUUUAAGAUAUUUCCUGAACACUAGCUCACUUCUUAACAACUUGGUGAGAUUGUUUUUCUGACUUUCCCACUUUACAGCUGAGGAAACUGAGGCUCAGGGAAAGAGAACUGGCACUUGCUUUUGACCCCAAAUCCUGGCUCUCCUGGCUGCUCUGUGAAAUCCUAAAUCAUGGUAACCCUGGAUACCACCAUACCAGCUUUGGUUGCAUGAUAGAAUUAAGGCCAAUAGCAUCUAUGCUGCAGUGAAGGCAUGGAUGGGAAACUCGCAGUGAAGGAGAGUGUAAUUCAUUGAAAUGACAAAUACAUUGCAUCUGUGCUAUAAACUAUGACUGAAAUGCUUCCUGCUCUCCUUAAGGAAGUGAAUAAGGUAAGCAAAGCUCUGUUUACCACAUGGGAAAGCACCUUCACAAAAACCCAGGCCUGGACUCAGCCCCUGGUUCUGUGCACAGUGCUAAACCCAACGGGAUUUCCAGUGACUCCUAGAUGAAGCAGACAUUAUUUCGCUCUACAGUCUCUUCCCUAUGCUCACAAACCAGCCUCUAGGAACUUAUCCCCCACUAGCCAGUUCACAUUUUUCAUAUGAACUCUGAGGGAUAUUUUUAAAAAUCGACUGAGGCAGACUGGGUUCCCAUAAGAAAAAUGGCUCAUGGUGGAGAUCCUGUUUGGUCCCCAGGUCCUGCAGCAUCAGCACUAAUGGGACUUUGAUCUGGAGUGCGUGUCUUCACCCUCUUUGCUGUUUUUAUUGACACUGUGCAGUAAGAGCAGUGCAAUUUCCUCCCAUUUCAGCUCUGGGUUUUCUGAGACAGAACUGGAGGGAAAUUGAGCUGUGACUGAUGGAAAAUACAAUGGCUUUGAGUCAGGAUGUGUCAGGUAGAGCUCCCUAUGGUAAAUCUAGCCUAAAUCUGUCCAAACAGGCUUGCUCUUAUAUUGCCACUUGGGGUUGAUUUUUCUUUAAAUAAAAAGUACAAAAUUUGCAUAGAACUCCUUUUCUCUCCCUUUCCUCUCUUCUCCUCUCCUCCUUUCCUUUCAUUGCCUUCUUUAUUUCUUUCUCCCUUUCAUUCUUUCUCUUUGCCUUUCUGCCUUUUUAUCUUCCCUUCUCUCUUAUGCUCUUUCUCUCUCUUCCUCCUUCCUUCUAUCCUUCCUUCCUUCCUCUCCCCUCUCUCAUGCCUUCCUUUCUUUGAUCACAUUGGCUAAUAUAUAAAAGUUAUGUUAAAGAUUAAUUCCAAGGUCAGUUUUUAUUUUAUUUACUUAUUUAUUUAUGUAAAGAAAUGGGGUCUCCCUGUGUUGCCCAGGCUGGUCUUGAACUCCAAGACUCCAGUGAUCCUCCCACCCUGGCCUCCCCAACUGCUAGGAUUACAGGCAUGAGCUACCACACCCAGCCCCAAGGUCAGCUUUUAGAUCUGUUCUCAAAGCUUUCCUAAAACUGAGACAGUGGUUCCUUACAUUAAUGAAUUGCGUAAUUAAGCCCCUCUGUCUGCAGGAAUCGUGAGACUACUCCGACAGCUAGACGUUGCUUUUGGCUGAGGUGGAGGCAGAAAGAACAGCACAGUGCCAGCCCCACAAGCAGGAGCUGCUAAGGCAGGGACAAACUUGGAGAAGGUGCUGCCAAGCCUUGUGGGGAGGCCCAGGACACAUUCUCCCCUGGGUACCAUUGGAGGACUUCUUGUAAAUCUCCAGGUUAUGGUAGAUGAGGAUGCCAGGUGCCAACUCUCAGAUGAACCAGCAGAUUGGGGCUGUAGGUCAGAGAUUUUGCUAAAGGUUAAUGAAAUCUCCUUGGGAUGGUGGCAGUUGGAGGAAUGGACUCACCUUUUCCCAUGAGCAGGAUGUUUAUCAUACUAAACACCAACGACUAACUGUUAUGUAAACCUUCUGUGAGGGGAUCCUGUUUAGACUUUGUUCAACAGGAUUUAUUUCUGACUCAUUAGUGGAAAGACUUAUGUUUGUUUUUGUUUUUUUUCACCUAAAAUUACUAUCAUUGUAUAAUUUACAAUAUACACAGGCUUUUUCUUUUAUUUUGUCUUAAUAAAUCUUCAAAAUAAUCCUGUGAAAUAGGUACCAUCUCCAUUUUUCCAUAUCCCACACAAUCUAGACAUUUUAAAAAAUCAAUCACAGUAAUAGUGACAAGUCAGAUUUUCCUAGUUAUGCCUCCAUUCACUACUUCAGGACCUCCAGCAUUUUCCUGAUGCUACUUCAUGACUCAGAAACGACUUCCAAACCCAGCACCUCAGUCACAGGGUGGAGAUGGGGAAUUGGCAUUUAUAUUCCAUUAUUCCAUUCCACCUUAUUUUCUUGGUGACUUCUUGUGUGACAGGGCUGGAAAGAUUUUUUUAAAUGCCUUUUAAGACUGUCUUGCAGCUAGGGUGCUGGAUGGUUUGUUUAUGACGAACUUGCAUGAUUUGGA
rnacentral:lncRNA from 10 species